UACGGAGGGUGCAAGCGUUAAUCGGAAUUACUGGGCGUAAAGCGCGCGUAGGCGGUCAUUUAAGUCGGAUGUGAAAGCCCAGGGCUCAACCUUGGAAUUGCAUACGAUACUGGGUGACUAGAGUGUGGUAGAGGAUAGUGGAAUUUCCGGUGUAGCGGUGAAAUGCGUAGAGAUCGGAAGGAACAUCAGUGGCGAAGGCGACUGUCUGGACCAACACUGACGCUGAGGUGCGAAAGCGUGGGGAGCAAACAGG
rnacentral:rRNA from 1 species